rnacentral:rRNA from 1 species
UACGGAGGGAGCUAGCGUUGUUCGGAAUUACUGGGCGUAAAGCGCGCGUAGGCGGCUUUGUAAGUUAGAGGUGAAAGCCCCGGAGCUCAACUCCGGAACUGCCUUUAAAACUGCAUCGCUUGAAUCCAGGAGAGGUGAGUGGAAUUCCGAGUGUAGAGGUGAAAUUCGUAGAUAUUCGGAAGAACACCAGUGGCGAAGGCGGCUCACUGGACUGGUAUUGACGCUGAGGUGCGAAAAGCGUGGGGGAGCAAACAGG